rnacentral:piRNA from 1 species
UACCAGCUCGACAUGACAUUCAAAUU